rnacentral:tRNA from 1 species
GGAGAGUUGGCUGAGUGGUCGAAGGCGCACGAUUGGAAAUCGUGUGUGCGUGAUGAGCGCACCCAGGGUUCAAAUCCCUGACUCUCCGCCA